GGUCCGAUGGUCUAAUGGUUAUGAUUUCUGUCUCACAUUAUGUUGUGCACAGAAGGUUCCCAGUUCGAUCCUGGGUCGAACCA